AUAACACUUACAAAAUAUGAGCAUAAUGGAAACGCAGUGGGUUUGAAGGGUUUCCUCGGAUCCGGGUGCAGAUGAUCUCCGCAGUGCUUCACUAGGCACGUCACCCACAACUCUCAGCUUCGUUAGCCUGGCUCAGUACAGCAGCAGGUUCUUUUCCUGUUCCUCAAAGCAUCCUACGGGUUGUUGGCACCGAAGAGAAUGUAAACAUUGGGUUCCUCCUGCUGGAGCACCUGGUUAUGUCGGUACUUGGCACCUAGGAGCAACUCAAAUGACUCUUGAGUGGAUAAAUGAGAGAAUGAGGCAAGACUGGAAUUGGCACUUCUCCGAAGAAACAUAUGUGACCAGUAAAUUUUUUUAAAAGAGUAUCAACUUCUUUUGUGAUUAGGAAAUGCAAAUUAAAAUUUAAAAGAUCCUGGGGCACCUGGGUGGUUCAGUCGUUGGGCGUCUGCCUUCGGCUCAGGUCAUGAUGCCGGGGUCCUAGGAUCGAGCCCCGCAUCGGGCUUCCUGCAUGGAGGGAAGCCUGCUUCUCCCUCUCCCACUCCCCCUGCUUGUGUUCCCUCUUUCGCUGUUUCUCUCUCUCUGUGUCAAAUAAAUAAAUAAAAAAUCUUAAAAAAUAAAAUAAAAUUUAAAAGAUUCUGUUCAUACCCACAAAGUGGCAAAAGUGAAAAAAAUCUAAUACCAAGUGUUGACAAGGAUGUAGAACAAUGGCACUCUUACACGCUAAUGGUGGAAGUGUAAAUUGGUGCGAUAACUUUGGAAAACAAUAUGGUGUUAUCCAGUAAAGUUGGAGUUUCCCAUACCCAGCAACUCAAACCCUGAGAAAUCCCUGCACAGGUGCACCGGGAGAUACACAGAAUGUUUAUUGCAGCACUGUCAUAAUAGACCCAAACUGGAAGCAACCUAAAUGUCCAUCAAGAGUAGAGUAGCUAGGGCGCCUGGGUGGCUCAGUUGGUUAAGCAACUGCCUUCGGCUCAGGUCAUGAUCCUGGAGUCCUGGGAUCGAGUCCCAUGUUGGGCUCCCCGCUCAGCGGGGGAUCUUCUUCUCCCUCUGACCCUCCCCUCUCUCAUGCUCUCUCUCUCUCAAAUAAAUAAAUAAAUAAAAUCUUAAAAAAAAAAGAGUA